AAACUAAAUAUCAGGUAUAUAUUUUAUUUUAUUUUAACUUAAAAACAUUUUUAAACUAAGUAAUGGAGAUUAAAAUUUAGUAUAUUGUACCUAAGAGAAAGUACUGCAAAGGAAUGGUCCGUAAAUUAAUAUAAAGAAAAAAUUAAGUUUUGUACCUUUUGUAUAAUGGCUUAGACUAGAUGUUAACUUUUUUAUUAAAUUUCUCGAAAUCUAAUGAGCUAUUUUUAUCCUAUAUAUUAGAAAUAAUGGAUUAAUUGUAGCAUAAAUUUUCCUAGAGAUGAAAAUAGAAAUGAAAUUUUAUUCGUAUUAGAUGAUAGCUAGUUCUUCUAAAAGGUAUAUAAGUACUCUAAAUUGACUUAAUUUAUAUGAUAAUCAUUAUAUAAUAAAUUUCAGUUUAGUUAAAUUCUCGAGGAUAAGCUCGAGAAUCUUAAAAUAUAUUUGUAUAAUUUAUUUUUUAUUAAAAUUUAAGCCUGAAAAUAGCUAAAAUUUAGAUUUUGUUAUAAUUUCAUUUUUAAUUUAAGAAAAUGAUCUAUCUACUUUUGGGCUAAAGGAAGAAAACUUCUAAAUUAUUUUAAGUUGAACUUAUGCUAAGAUGAGUAUUAAAUUAAUAUAUAAAUUUUAAUGUCAUAAAUAACUUGAAAUAAAAUAUUAUUAUGUCAAUUUUAAAUCAUAAAAAGGAACUCGGCAAAUACAUAUUCUGCCUGUUUAGCAAAAACAUGGCUCCUUGUACAAAUUAAAUAGGGAGUCGGACCUGCCCAGUGAAUAUUUUAACGGCCGCGGUACUCUGACCGUGCAAAGGUAGCAUAAUCAUUUGCCUUAUAAUUGAAGGCUAGUAUGAAUGGUUUGACAAGAAUAUAGCUGUCUCUUUUUGAUUUUAUAGAAUUUUAUUUUAAGGUGAAGAAGCCUUUAUUUAAUUAAAAGACAAGAAGACCCUAUCGAGCUUUAAAACAAUAAGUAGGUUUGGUAUAUCUUAGUAGUUUUAUAGAGAUAUCUACUAAGAAUUUUAGUUGGGGCGACUAAGGAACAGAAAAAGCUUCCUCUAAUAAACUUAAAUAAUUUACAGUUACUUGAUCCAAAAGUUUUUGAUUAAAGGAAUUAGUUACCGUAGGGAUAACAGCAUUAUCUUCUUUAAGAGUUCUUAUCGAAAAGGAGGUUUGUGACCUCGAUGUUGGACCAGAAUAUCCUAAAGAUGCAGCAGUCUUUGAAGGUUGGUCUGUUCGACCAUUAAAAUUCUACGUGAUCUGAGUUCAGACCGGCGUGAGCCAGGUCAGUUUCUAUCUUUAAUUUUUUAAAUAAAUUUAGUACGAAAGGACCAAUUUAUUAUAAUAUAUUUAUUUAAUGUGAUAAAAUAUAAUACACUAAAAUAA
rnacentral:rRNA from 1 species